rnacentral:rRNA from 1 species
AUUGAACGCUGGCGGCAGGCUUAACACAUGCAAGUCGAACGAGCGGCGGACGGGUGAGUAUUGUCUGGGAAACUGCCUGAUGGAGGGGGAUAACUACUGGAAACGGUAGCUAAUACCGCAUACCAUCAGAUGUGCCCAGAUGGGAUUAGCUAGUAGGUGGGGUAACGGCUCUCCUAGGCGACGAUCCCUAGCUGGUCUGAGAGGAUGACGAGCCACACUGGAACUGAGACGCGGUCCAGACUCCUACGGGAGGGAGCAGGGGGGAAUAUUGCACAAUGGUCGCAAUCCUGAUGCAGCCACGCCGCGUGUGUGAUGAAGGCCUUCGGGUUGUAAAGCACUUUCAGCGGGGAGGCGUUACCCGCAGAAGAAGCACCGGCUAACUCCGUGCCAGCCGCCGCGGUAAUUC